CAGGUACCAGUCUCUCUGUGAGCUGAGAUGCAGUGGAUUGAAUCAGACUGGGCACUCUGCAGUCGAUAUGUGGAGCAUACUGAUAAAAACCAAUCAGUGAGAAGUGAGGGGGCUCCGUCUCAUUUGGCUGAGGAAGUGCUUAUAAACAGUCUGUGCACAGAUGCUGUAUGCCAGUGUUGAACUUCUCAUUUCCAUGGAUCUGAAUAGAGCUGAUCUUGACUGAACAUCACUGCAGGGCACAGAUGACCACUGCGUAUCA